AGUCCAAAAAUGGUGGAGGCUUUGAUAUGUACUCAAAAUUGGCUUAGGUCUAUUCAUGUUGCAUUACAUCAUGAGCCAACCAUUGAGGAGAUGGAGUUUUGUGAAGAAGUUGAGAAAGGUAAUUUUAUUUAUUGCAUUUGAUUUUGUUAGAUUAUUUUAAAUAACAUUUUAAUUAGUAUCAUUUGUUUUAUUAUUUGUAUGUAGAAAUGGCAAGUGGAAGUUAAAAAAAAGGUGCUAUGUUGCCCCCUAGGCCGCCCAACCGUUAGUAAGCAAAUUGUCAUUCAAACUUGAAAUGGUUGAGUGUUGAUCUUGAGAACUUGAAGAAGUAUGUGCAAGGAUGGAACUUUAGAUGUUUAUUGAAUUUAUAAUCUUAGUUGUAAUGUUUAUUUAGGUGUGGAAGACUUCUUGAACUUUUGAAAUGUUUAUUUUAGGUGUGGAAAACUUGAACUUUGAUGUGUAUUUUAAGUUUGGACUUUGAUUUGAACUUUGAUGUUUAUUUAACUUGGACUUUGGAAGACUUGAUUAUAAUUGAACUUUGAAUGGAAUGUUUAUUUUCAUUAUCUUUGUUAGUUUGUUUGAUAAUUCUAUUAGAAAUUUGGAAUGCUUAUGUUGAAAUGAGACUUUGAUUGACUUUGAUUUUAUUUAUACUCAUUUGAAAGAUGUAUUACAAAAUGGCUGCAAUUUUCUUAGAAUUUUUUUUUUUUUGCUGCUGAAAAAAAAAAAAAAACCGAACCGGGCCGAAACUGAACCGAAAAAAACCGAACCGAAUGCAAACCGAACCGAAUACAAACCGAACCGAACCGAACAGUAAUUUCGGUUCGAUUUCCGGUUUUGGCAAAAAACCGAACCGAACGAAACCGAACCCACCCCUACCUGCCGCUAUUACCACGAACCAGGUGACCAAAAGUACGUCCAGUACUCCAAAAAUUAUUCAGCAACCUGCCGCUAUUACCACCAACCAGGUGAUGAAAUGUACAACCCGUACUCUCAUUCAUGCCACCAACCAGGUGAUCAAAAGUACGCCCAGUACUUCAAAUCAUACAUGAACAUUACUCAUGUCAAUCAUACAUAAACAUUUAUGAGCAUUACUCAUGUCAAUCAUACAUAAACAUUCAUGAGCAUUACUCAUCC
rnacentral:lncRNA from 1 species